rnacentral:misc_RNA from 1 species
GAUGAAGAAACGUAGCGAAAUGCGAUAAGUAGUGUGAAUUGCAGAAUUCAGUGAAUCAUUGAAUCUUUGAACGCACAUUGCGCCCUAUGGUAUUCUGUAGGGCAUGCCUGUUCGAGCGUUAUUUAGACCCUCAAGCUGUGCUUGGUGUUGGGCGCCUUGUCCCUCAUAAGAAUGGACUUGCCUUAAAAUUAUUGGCGACCUUCAGGUUGGUUUAAAGCGCAGCACAACGCGUUAAAUAAGCCUUCCUGUUGGCAUCACCCAUAAAGCUUUUUUUAAGCUUGACCUCGGAUCAGGUAGGGAUACCCGCUGAACUUAAGCAUAUCAAUAAGCGGAGGA